UAUAUAUUUAAAUAUAUAAAAAAAAAGUAUUUCAAAGGGGUUAUUAAGGAAAACUAAGGCAAAUUUAUACAAAAGGAGGUUAUAAACCAAAAGCUUCAAGAAAUAACACAAAUUAUUUUCUGAUAUGAAAAAAGCGAUCCUAAGGUAAACCUUGUUUAAAAUUUUACUUCCUGAAGUAAAACAUUUUAUUAGGGAAAGGAAAGGAAAUCAACCGAGACUCUGAAAGUAAUGGUGAGUGAAAUCAGAUUAGCCUAAAUUAAUAUUAUAAAUUGAAUAAUUAAACAUAUUUAUUAAAGAAUGGAUCUUUUGAUUUAUCAAUAGUAAUUAUUUAUAAUCAAUAUGUAUUAAUUAGCAUAUAUUUUUUUUUUAUUGGUAUUAAAAAACAAUAAAAAGAAAUCUUUGCUCUAAAGAAGGUCACAAUACUCUAAGUCCUGUAGAUUUAUAAUUUAAUUAAAAAAGAAUAAAUUAGUAUUUAUAAAAAUAUUUAAUUAGAAAAAAAAAAUUAAUUUGUUAAGUUAUAUUUUUUUAAAGCUCAAAUUAAAUUCUUUAUUAUCUCUAAUCAUUAUUCUAUUAUAAAGUACAAUGAGAGAAAACUUGUUGGAAUAUAGGGGAACCAUCCUCUAAGGCUAAGUAUUAUAAAUUUAGCGAUAGUGAAUAAGUACUGUAAAGGAAAAGUUUGAAAAGCGAGUGGUAUACAAAAAGUGAGUUUUUAAUAAUUUUAUUUUAAAUAUUAAAUAAAAUACAGCUAAUUUGGAAAUUCUUAAAAAGAUCUCCAGUAAAAUUAAUGUAUAAAAAGGAUGAUUAAAAUAAAUAUUAAAAAUGAAUUGAUGAAAUAGAUCAUGAAUUAGUAACUCUAUAAGCAGUCGAAAUUCUACUUUAAGAAAAAGAUUAAUGAAUGACGGCGUACCUUUUGCAUAAUGGGUCAGCAAGUUAAUAGGAGUAGCAAGGUUUAAAGCCCUAGCGAAAGCGACUGGACUAUAAUAAUAUUAUAACAAAAUAAUAAAUUAAAUAUAGUGAUGGAUAAGUUACUUCUAUUAGACCCGAAGCCAGGUGAUCUUACCAAGACCAGAUUAUAAUGGAUCGAACGGGUGAAUGUUGCAUAAUUCUCCGAUGAGUUUUGGUAAGCGGUGAAAUGCCAAUCUGACCUGGUGCUAGCUGGUUUUCUACCGAAACAUAUUUAAGUAUGAUGUCUACACAAAAUUUAUGGAGGUACAGCAAGGCAAUUCCCAACAAGUUUAAGAGUUGUGAUUAAUUUAAUCACUUCAAUCUUUUAGGCGUUUAGGUUGUGGGGACCUCGAAAAUCUUACCUUUGGAAGCGAAUCUCGGAAUUACAUAAAUUGAUGGUAGAUAUUCAGACUACUCAUGCUAAGUUGGGUAGUCAAGACGGAAACAGCCGAGAACACUGAUCAAGGUCCCAAAUGAUUGUUAAGUGAAAUUAAGGAUGUAGCAAUAUCAUAUACAGCUGUGAAGUGAGCCUGGUAGUCGCUACUUAUAAUGAUCGUAUGUAACAACGCAUCAGCAGUCUAGAUAGUAGCACCGAAAAUUUAACGGGUCUUAAACAAUCAACCGAUAUCGUGUUGGUUUUGAAUAAAAAUUUAAAUUGAUAUUUAAUAUUUAAUAUUUAUAAUUUAUAUCUUUUCAUUUUAUUCUUAAUCUAGGUAGUAGAACAUUCAGUCAUACUUAUUAUAAAACAGUGUUUCAUUGUUUUUUAGGUUACUGAAGAGAGAAUGCUGACAUGAGUAACGUAAAAAGAAGUUAUAAUACUUCUCGCCGAAUACAAAAGGGUUGCAAAUUGGAAAGGUUAAUCCGUUUUGUGUGAAUGCGGCCUCUAAGGACCAAAACCAAAGUUUUGGCUGAUGAGUAUAUAAUAGAAAGUCCAUUGAUUUUUAUUAAUGGUCCAAGAAAAUAAUAUUAUAAAUAACUUAUUCGAAGAUAUAAUUCUUUUUAACAUAUUUCUAUAUUAACAAAAUAAUAUCUUUAUUUUUAAUUCUAUACGUAACUCUAAUAGUGUUUAGAUAAUAUUAGAUUAAUUAAUUAUUUAAAUUCUUAUUAUUCACUAGAUUAAUAGUCUUUGAAAUAAUUUAUAGGUAAUAUCAUUAUCAUUUAUUUAUCCUAUUUUUUAAUCCAAAUAAUAUCCUAAUUGAGAGAAACAAAAUAGAAUUAAGGAUUCCUUAUUUUGUGUAUAUUAAGAUAAUAAGAUGAAUCAUAUCUGAGAAUUUGUCAUUUGAUUUUAUAUUUAUUAAAUUUGGCCUUUAUGCCAUACAAAUAUGAAGAUUAUAAUUACUCAAAGUAACAGUUAACGGUUAAUUUAAAAGUUAAUCUCUGCACAUACCCCUAUCCGCCUUAGGAUAGAUGGUUCUUGUAGUGCUAAUCUGAGUCUACAAACCUAUAUAGGAUCUCUUUGAUAGAGAUCUGUAUCUAAAUUAUUUAUUUCAUUUAGAAUAUAGUCAUGAUUUAUGAUUAAAUUGGGGUUUUUCAAUUCAUAUAAUUCAUAUUACCAAAUAUGCAUCUAAACCCUGACACUAAGGUUUUAUUUUGUGAGUGGAUAGUAUAAUUCCAUAGUUGAAAGAUUUAUUUCAGUUAAUAAAUUAACAUCUAUUCUUCCAUUGUCACGAUAAAGAUAGAUAUUACCUCUACCCUAUUUGGACCUGAUUAGUUAAUUAAUACCUAGUUCUGUAAAAUUUAUUUUUAAAUUUACAGUUAAGAUUUCUCCUAGCUAGGAAAAAUAAUCAAAUUAGUUAAUUAAUUCAUAAAUAGAUAACUAUCCGGUUUCUUAAGUUCACAAUUAUCAAAUGUGAGCAUCUUGUAUUUUUCUAACUAAUUUAAUGACAUUAUUUCUCUUUAAUUAUAAUUUUUUUCACAAAAAUAGAUGGACAGAUAUCUUUUUUAUUGUGUUUAGUUUAUAUUGAUUAUUUUUUAUUAGUUAUUUUAACUUAACUAUUAAAUAUAACUUUAAUUUGCUAAAAUAAUAAUUAUUUUCAAAUAUAACUUUAACCUUUUUUCAAUAAAAUUUAAAUAGGGUUUAAUAAAAAGAUUAAAAUACCAUAAAUAUAAAUAAAAUAGUUGUAUCUCUCCAUCUAAUUGUAUAGAAUAAAUAUUUAUUUUUAAUAUUUACUAAAAAUUUAUUAAAUAUAAACUAUUAUACUACCGUACCCUAAACCGACACAGGUUUGUAGGUAGAGAAUACUAAGGCGUAGAGCUAAAAGUUGUUAAGGAACUCGGCAAAUUCACCUCAUAAGUUUGACAACAAGAGGGACCACAUAUAUACAUUAAUGUUUAACACUCCGGAUUGUUAAAUUAAUUAUAUAAGGUGGUGGCACAAAAUCGGAGGCCCCGACUGUUUACUAAAAACACAACACAGUGCAAUCAUUAAUAUGAUAGUAUACUGUGUGAAAUUUGCCCGAUGCCAUUAAUAUAAGAGCGGUUAUGGGUAACUGUGACUAAUCGAAAAUCUGGUUAAUAGCGGUCUUAACUAUGAGGAUCCUAAGGUAGCAAAAUCAGUUGGCCAUUAAAUGUGGUCCGGUAUCAAUAAUGUAACGAUGGCCUCACUGUCUCUACAACUUGCUCAGUGAAAUUGAAUUACACGUGCAGAUGCGUGUUGCCUCCAGGGGGACGGGAAGACCCUAUGCAGCUUUACUGUAGUUAGUUAUCAUAUGAAUCUAGAACAAUCUUAGUUAAUAGAAAAUAGGGAAGUCGAGAGACAAAUCUUGGAAACCUUAUAAUUAAGAUUGGGUUUAUGUUUACCUUACAAUUAAAAAAAAAAGGGAGAGUUGACUAAUUGGCAGUUUGACUGGGGCGGUCGUCUUUAAUAGAGUAGCAAAGUACAUCCAAAUAUUUCCUAAAAUAUUAAGUCUUACGACUUAAAUUCUCAAGAUAAGAAUAAUUGUAACAAAAGAUUAAUAAAUUUAAUUUAAAUAUUGAAUAUUGAUCUUUAAGACCUUUUAUUUUUUAUUUGAGUUUAAAACAAAUAACUUAUUCUCUUUUUUUUUUUUAAUAUUAAAAUUUAUUUAAAAAGAGAUAAGUAAUAAUUAAUAGAUAACUACCAAAAAUUAAAUUCAUUAUUAUGUCAAAAAUAAUAAUGAAUUUUAAGAUAGUAAGUAGCCAAACAAUUUUAUUAAUUAACAAAUUAAAUAAAAACUUUCUCUUUAGCUACUUCUCAGUAUCCUCUGGCUUUAGCUCAAGGGAAUUUUGUUUUCUAUUUUCUUUUUAAUAGUUAGGCCAAUUAGCAUAGUUUUAAUUAGAAAUCUGAAAAUUUUAGGCCUUAAUUGGCUGCUGUGAAAAUUAGUGACCCUUACUAACUCAAUACCUUUAAAUUAUCUGGAUAUAUAAUUUAGAGGAGUAAUAUUAGAGGAAAUGCUAUGUUUAACAAAGUAGGUAAGGGAAAAGAGUUUGUCUAAAAAUAAUAAUACACUAAAAAAUUUUAAAAGGUAUAGCUAGAAAUUGAAUGGAGAUCAAUCAACCAGUGAAGGGUUGCGCAGAGUUCAAUGGCGGUAAGCAUGCUUAACUGAAAGACCUAAAAGUCACACAGAUACGUAAGUAGGGCAUAGUGACCCCUCGCUAUAAUAUGGGAUAGACGGGGAUCAAUUAAUAAAAGUUACGCUAGGGAUAACAGGCUGAUAGCCGACGAGAGUACACAUUGUCUCGGCUGUUUGGCACCUCGAUGUCGACUCAUCCUAUCCUCCGGGGGAAGAAGCUUGGAAGGGUUCGGCUGUUCGCCGAUUAAAAGGGUACGUGAGUUGGGUUUAAUACGACGUGAGUCAGUAUGGUCCCUAUCUUCUGGAGGGAUAAGUAGUAAAAAGGGGCAGACCUUCUAGUACGAAAGGAUCAAUAGGCUGUGUUUCUCUAGUGUACCAAUUGUUUGUACUUUUUUGUAAGGGACUCAAAGUAUCUUGAAGGCAAAAGUAAAGAAAAAUGGGGAAAAUCCUUUUUAAACUUUAAAAUUUAAAGUUUACUCUUAAUAAUAUAAAAAUUAUUGAGAAAAAAAGGUAACAAAAUCGGAAUGCAUAGUUGGGUAGCCACAAACAUAAUAGAUAAGUGCUGAAUGUCUAUAAAGCAAGAAUCUAACCCCUAGAUACUAAAAAAAUGAUUAUUUUAUUUUCUUGUAAUAGUUAUAGACUUGAUAAGAGACUCUAAAACAAAGAGAAUAAUUAAUCAUUAAUUAAGAAAUAGAACAUUUCUAGAUAGGCUGCAAAUGA
rnacentral:rRNA from 1 species